rnacentral:rRNA from 1 species
UAAAAAAUUUUGGCGGUAUUUUAAGCUUAUUAGAGGAAUUUGCUCUGUGAUGGACACAACGCCUUAAUCUUACUUAAUUUAGUAAUUUAAAUCAGUUUGUAUACCACUAUAUUAAUUAUAUUGAAUAGUUAUAUUUAAAAUUUUUUUAAAAAAAUAUAUUAAGUCAAGGUGCAUCUAAUAAUUAUGAAUGAAGUGAAUUACAUUAAUUUUAAUGUAAUUUUUUACAUGAAAAAAUUAAUAAGGAUUUAAUAGUAAAAUACUAAUAUUAUGAGUAUUUGAAUCAAGCUCUAAAAUAUGCACAUAUCGCCCGUCGCUCUCAGAAGUGAGAUAAGUCGUAACAAAGUAAAAAUACUGGAAAGUGUUUUUUAAAAUGAAAUCAUUUGAUGUUUCAUUUACAAUGAAAAUUUUGUUGUUUAACCAUUUUAA